CGACACAGCAACACUAAAAACAAAUGAAAUAAAAAAAAUUCUAUUCUAAGAUUCAUCAGACAGUACCUGAUCGCCUACAAUAUAUUUCAAAACAUAUAAAUAUAUCAAUACAAUUCAUCAGUCAAAAUUAUGAACACCGUAUGAGCAACCGUGAAAAGUUUUCAAUAAAUGAUAUUCUACUGCCGUCAUUGAUUAUAGCUCAGGCUAUAGUACAUUGCUCUUAUGAUAUAAGCGGACACGAAUAAUAAUAUACAGAAAUACGGGACUAGACUAUUUUUAAUUUAACAACCCUACUGUUAAAGUUUAUAGAUAGAAAAGAGGAACAGCUGGGCGAUUCCAGUAAAAUCCAUAACAGCAAAGCAGUAAUCUAUCAAUUGUGAGCAAACUUAAUCACACAGAUUUCAAUCUGAAGCCAUAAGUCAACGUAAAACUAAAUGAACAAUAAGGGACUAAACUACUUUUAAUAACUUGUUGAGACAUAAGGGAACAAAAAAUAAUCGUAUUCCAUUUCACAUUGACAAGAUAAACGGCUGGAAAAUUUCAGCAAAGUAGAUACA